rnacentral:rRNA from 1 species
UACGGAGGGUGCUAGCGUUAUCCGGAAUUACUGGGUUUAAAGGGUGCGUAGGCGGCUUCAUAAGUUAGAGGUGAAAGCCUAUCGCUCAACGAUAGAAUUGCCUUUGAUACUGUAAAGCUUGAAAGGGGUUGAGGUCAGCAGAAUGUGGCAUGUAGCGGUGAAAUGCAUAGAUAUGCCAUAGAACACCGAUUGCGAAGGCAGCUGGCUGGGCCUAAUUUGACGCUGAGGCGCGAAAGCGUGGGGAGCGAACAGG